rnacentral:lncRNA from 1 species
AUUAUAACUUUGAGAAGCCCCCCUGUUUGACUUUUAGAAGACCCCCUAUUUGUAGUCGUUGGAUAAAAAUUCAACGGUCCACGAACACUGAUCAGGAAGAUCCCGACCAGUUGCCUCGGAGAGGAUCCAAAUCUUGUCCUAUGAACAUAAAAUGAUAAAGAAAAAAAAAUAAAAAGCCAUUAAUUAUCCCUAAUAAUAAAGUGGCUUCUUUACUUUUUAGACAAAAAUUGAGCAAUAGUUUUUAAAAAUUUAAUCCAAUUGAAGCUUUGGUUCUCAAGUAAAAAAUUUAUGAAUAUUAGUCAUGAAUUUAUCACAGUGUGACGCAAUGAUUUUCUUGAGUAAUUUUGUUAAAAAUUAUGCUCCUUAUUUGUUUUUUAAAAAGAUUAUUACUUCACCUUGUAAUGACUUUUAGGAAUCAACACUCACAAAUUGACACACCUCGACCUAAAUUAGGGCAUGCUGGUCGUCACGCGACGGUGACGUAGCCAUGUGCACCGUGCGGAAGCAAUAGAGAUAUAAGGAAAUGUGAAUAAACAAAAACCAAAUCAACUAGAGUACUAGAUAAGAUAAGGUGUAAGUGCAAGAUGAAGUGUGAAAUACACAAUCAGAGCAUAAUAGCCUAAGUGCCGUCAUGCAGAACAAGUACUAAUUAUACGACACCCAAGGGUGAUUAUACAUUUAUGAUAUUUUGUCAGAACCACCGUCGAAAUCCUCGUGAUCCACCAAAGCACUUAUACCUAAAACCUGGAGGGGCGCAAAACAAAAAGUGUGAGUGGGCAAAAGCAAAGCUUUUCAAAAUCAUUUCAAUUCUCAAAAGUUCUAACCCCUCACCGUAAAACCUGUAUAAUUUCCCAGAAAAUAAUAAUAAUAAUAAGUUGAAUCAGAAAUCAUACUCAAGAUGAAAAUCCAUGGAAGUAUACCAUGCCAAAGUAUCUCAAUGCAAUGCUAUAAGUAAUCCAGGCAAAAUAUAUCAAUGUCAAAUAUCCCAUCAACCAAAUCCUUUUAACUCAAUCUGCACGGCUGAGUAUAUAGCUCAUAAUCAAUCUCAAUUAUAUCAAAUCAAAUCCCGCACACGAGUCGGAACCACUUAAAGUGGUAUGUAUGACAAGACUAGGUGUAAAAUAAAUAUGCUCUAGUGCCACGAUCACGAGAAGGCUGUGCGAAUAAUCACGGGUUACCUACGAGUCAGAACCACCUAAAGUGGUAUAUACGACAAGCCUGUGCACCUAACUUGGAUCCAAGAUGAGCAUAUGGUGCGGGAGGUGAACAUCACGUGAAGAACUGUGCACUAACUCUGGGCGGGAGCACUAACACCGGGGUGUAGGUUUAUGAGCUCUCAAUACAUCACAUCAUAUCUCACAUAACUGAUGCAAUCUCCUAUCUUUGAUUUAUGAACUUACCUGUGCGUCCGUAUCACCAAUCAUAAAAAUAUGCAACAACUAAUGCAUAAUAAAAUAGAGAGAUACUUGAAUUAAACCCUCUUUUUAUCAAUUGUAGCAAAGUAUGUAAGUAGGGAUCGUUCUAGACCGGGGAUUAGGAGGGAUUGCUAAAUCACUUGAAAACUGACUCAAAUACGUAAAAACAAGUUUAAAACACUAAACUAGACUCAAAGAAAGCAAAACUAAACUCUAAAACACUAAAACAAACCUAAAGACUCAAAACAGCCCAGAAACACUCAAACUGCCUUAAAACCACAAUCUGGGCAGUUUUGAACAAUAAACACAACUUGGACGAAAAUUGGUUUUAACUUGACUUAAGACACUUGAAAACACAAACUAAAGUGAUUUCUAACUACUAUGACUCAACAAAAUAAAGGGGGAUUGAUUUUGGACGAAUUUAAAAACAAAACAAAACUUUGUAAACUAGAGUAGAUUUUAAAACGAAUUUGGUGAAAGAGAAUGGAUGGAAGGCUAGCUAAAGGGUUCUUCUCCACACAUGUCACACUUGCAUACAAAACGAUUUCCAAUUGCUUCUCAAUAAACCAUGAA